CACGUAGGGUGCGAGCGUUGUCCGGAAUUAUUGGGCGUAAAGAGCUCGUAGGCGGUGUGUCGCGUCGGCCGUGAAAACCUGCAGCUUAACUGUGGGCUUGCGGUCGAUACGGGCAUCACUGGAGUUCGGCAGGGGAGACUGGAAUUCCUGGUGUAGCGGUGAAAUGCGCAGAUAUCAGGAGGAACACCGGUGGCGAAGGCGGGUCUCUGGGCCGAAACUAACGCUGAGGAGCGAAAGCGUGGGGAGCAAACAGG
rnacentral:rRNA from 1 species